GGGCGUCACAUUUAGAAUUGUCAAACUUCAUGCCUGAAAGACUUUUCAUUAAGGUGCUGGCCAACAUUUUGUCAAAACUUACAAACUGCUCUUCAAUAGCCUUUUUGAAGUCCUUGGCCUUAUCACAUUGAGGGAUUGAUCCCCUGAUGCUUUUAUCGACAUGAGUCUUCAUGAGACUCACGCUCAAGCAGUUGAAUCUUUCCCACAAUUCAUAUAGUGACCUCUCUUAUGGCAUACUUGAUUUCGU
rnacentral:lncRNA from 1 species